rnacentral:rRNA from 2 species
ACGUAGGAUGCAAGCGUUAUCCGGAUUUACUGGGUGUAAAGGGAGCGCAGGCGGGACUGCAAGUUGGAUGUGAAAUACCGUGGCUUAACCACGGAACUGCAUCCAAAACUGUAGUUCUUGAGUGAAGUAGAGGCAAGCGGAAUUCCGAGUGUAGCGGUGAAAUGCGUAGAUAUUCGGAGGAACACCAGUGGCGAAGGCGGCUUGCUGGGCUUUAACUGACGCUGAGGCUCGAAAGUGUGGGGAGCAAACAG